UAAAAACCCCGACUUCGGAAGGGGUGUAUUUAUUAGAUACAAAACCAAUGCCCUUCGGGGCUCUUUGGUGAUCCAUGAUAACUAUACGAAUCGCACGGCCUUGCGCCGGCGAUGGUUCAUUCAAAUUCCUUCCCUAUCAACUUUCGAUGUUUGGGUAUUGGCCAAACAUGGUUGCAACGGGUAACGGAGGGUUAGGGCUCGACCCCGGAGAAGGAGCCUGAGAAACGGCUACUACAUCCAAGGAAGGCAGCAGGCGCGCAAAUUACCCAAUCCCGACUCGGGGAGGUAGUGACAGUAAAUACUGAUACAGGGCCCUUUCGGGCCUUGUAAUUGGAAUGAGUACAAUUUAAAUCCCUUAACGAGGAACAAUUGGAGGGCAAGUCUGGUGCCAGCAGCCGCGGUAAUUCCAGCUCCAAUAGCGUAUAUUAAAGUUGUUGUGGUUAAAAAGCUCGUAGUUGAACCUUGGGCCUGGCUGGCCGGUCCGCCUCACCGCGUGCACUGGUCCGGCCGGGCCUUUCCCUCUGUGGAACCCCAUACCCUUCACUGGGCGUGGCGGGGAAACAGGACAUUUACUUU
rnacentral:rRNA from 1 species